UACAGAGGUCUCAAGCGUUGUUCGGAUUCAUUGGGCGUAAGGGUGCGUAGGCUGCGUGGUAAGUCGGGUGUGAAAUCUCGGAGCUUAACUCCGAAACUGCAUUCGAUACUGCCGUGCUUGAGGACUGGAGAGGAGACUGGAAUUUACGGUGUAGCGGUGAAAUGCGUAGAUAUCGUAAGGAAGACCAGUGGCGAAGGCGGGUCUCUGGACAGUUCCUGACGCUGAGGCACGAAGGUCAGGGGAGCAAACGGG
rnacentral:rRNA from 1 species